rnacentral:lncRNA from 1 species
GCUAGUGUUGCCGCCGCCGCCGCCGCCGCCGCCGCCGCUGCUGCUCCAUGGCCGCGCCCGCCCCGCGCCCCCGCCGCGUCCCGUCGCCGCCCGCCCGCGUCCCGGAGAAUUGGACACGAAGGGAAGGACACGGAGAGAUGACAAACGCACACUGGCACGCAGUUGUUUUCAGGGUGGUGGGAAGAACAAAGUGGAAUGUCUUCAGUUCUUACAAAAUAUGAUGGCAUUUGUAAUCUCUGAGUUUUUGUAUUUGGCCUACAAAGGGGGUCUUUUCAGGGAAACAGGAAAGGAACCCUUCAGAGACAUGUCUACAUUAUAAAACAAUAUAGGAUAGAUACGGAUUCGGGAAGGUCUGCAAAUGGUUCCGCUUAAAGAACUUGGGGUAAAGUUGACCGAGAACUCGGAUUCUGAGAGGACUCCUAUCACGUUCUUCAUGAGAGUUUUAGGCUAUUUGGACUGAGGAAUGAUUUGGAGGUGAGUUGGGGGCAUUCCCUCACUGAGGCCAUCAGUGGCUGCCUCCCUGCAUUGGCUGCUGGUUUGACUUGCUUCACAGAACUUCUUCGUCAAGCUUUUCAUACGAACGCUGCAGUGAAGUGGAGUGAAAGAGACUGGGGAUUGAAGGGUGAACCCCUUCCAACCCCAAUCCCAUCCCGAUUCCUGUCUGGAUGCAGGUUCAGUCUGACUCAGAACGGAUAGUUCACCCUUUUACUGAUCGAAGUGCUCUGUCCUCUUUUUUUCAGAGGAAUGUUCUGACCAGCCACAAACUUUUCCUCUGUCACUGCAGGACCUCCCGUGGAGCAAUGUUUCGAUAGGUCUUCUACUAUGCUUUUUUUACCGCGUCAUUGUUAUUGCUGGGAAAAUAAUGCUUAAUUAGGAAAAAAAUAGCAGGGCAUAUGAGCUGAUGAUAGAAGUAGAGAUCAAGGCACAGAAUACAAUAUCAAAACAACUAUUCUCUGUAAUCAAAUGACCUUUCUCAUUUGCUUGUACACCCAGAUUUCUGAAAUCCUACACCAAAGUCCACAGAGAACUAAGAUAGCAUGUGGCCUAUUCCCCGCGCUUUUCCAGUGGAGAAAGUAGCCCCAGAAAUCAGAAGGGUUUGUCCACAAGCAUAUGGCUGUCUGAUGUCAUCCAAACCAGAACUAAAACCUAUUGCCCUAGUCCUUUCCCUUCUGUAACCUAGGCAUAUUUACAGUCUGCCUUCUUGUGGUGUUGUGUGGAUUAGAAGAGUAGCUAAGAAAAGCACAUAUCUUAUUAAAAUUCACUACAAUAGAUGACAAGUCUGUAGAAUUAUAGUGCAGUAGAAGUUCACCUGUGAGAUCAUCUAUUAGAAUCCCAUCUUUUUAAAACUGUGGAAACGACGCACUACCCCAAGCCACUAAGUUAAUUCAAAGCCAGGAAUAGAUGCUAUGUUCCUUGACUUCUUAUCCAACGUUCCUUCCUUGUAUGUAGCCCAUCUUUGAAUCAUGAGAGGGGAGAGGAGAAAAAGGAAAGGAGGGAUAUUCUCACUCUCUUACAUAUAUAUGAAAAAAUAUAUAUGCUUCUCUGUGUGUGUGUGUCUGUGUACAGUCACACACCCAUAAUAAUGUUUCAGUGAACAACAGACCACAUAUAUGACUGUGGUCCCGUAUAAUAUAAUACUGUAUUUUUGCUGUACCUUUUCUGUGUUUAGAUACACAAAUACUUACCAUUGUGUUACAUUUGCCCACAGUAUUUAGUACAGUAAUAUUCUGUACAGGUUUGUAGCCUAGAAGCAAUAGGCUACCCCAUAUAGCCUGGGUGUGCAGUAGCCUAUAUCAUCUAGAAGUGCACUCCAUGAUGUUUGCACAAAGUCGCCUACUGAUGUAUUUCUCAGAACACAUCCCCAUAGCUAAUUGACGCAUGAUUGGAGAUAUAUAUAUAUAUAUAUACACACACACACACAUACAAAUAUAUAUACAUAUAAAUACAUAUACAUAUGUAAAAUAGAUACAAUAAAUAUUUUAUACACAUUAAUAUUUUUGGUAUAUAAUAAUAUAUUACAAAUAUAAAAAUUUUAAUAUAUGAUAAAAGAUUUCUAAAAACUAAA